CUCAAACGUUCUAAAUAAAGAUAAAAUCGCAAAAAAUAUUACCAAAACUAAAAUCAACCUAAAAAAGUUAAUUGAAAUUUCUCAAUUGGUUGAAUAGGGACCAAUAACAUUCAUGCUCAUGGUCCAUUUUUCUACAAAUGUUGUUGAACUAACCACAGAGGGGAAGUGAACCACCCGGUUCAUUGACAUUGAAAACAUGCAUGCAAAAUAGUAAAAGAAAACGGUUCAAGAAAAGCUGAACCGGGUGAUUCAAGAAGAACGUACCCCACAACCGGUGUCUAAAGCGGUCCGGACGGACCCAUCUUUAAGGUUGAUGAGUUUUCCGAUAUCGUCAAUGUAUGCACCAGCGCCACGUGGAAACAUGGUCCCACCACCAGGAAACCUGAACCGGUCACCUUCAAAAUGAACCCAAUUCUGGUUUUUUUUCUCAAUCGUCAAUUCUUUAUGUGGCACAUUAGCAUACCAAGCCCAAUCACGGCUCUCCGGCCACCGCGGCGGAACGCGGUAGCCAUACGGUGCCGGUAUCCGACACCGGAGAACCUCCUCUUUUUCCGGACAGUGUCUCUCUCGAUAAAUUAAAUUCUCCCGAGGAAAUUUCAACGAUCGCUGUGUGUCCUCGCACGGAGUAUACUCCGAUAAAGCAACAUCACAAACCGGCGCGUGGGUAACACGCUCUGAGGUUUCUGGUGGGUCGGGGACGUUAUGAUGGGCUGAGAAAUCAAGAGUGGUGGAAGAAGUGGUGGUGGAGGUGAAAUUAGCUGGUGGGCAAUCAGGGCGGAUGAUGGUGGUGGAGUGAUGGUUGUUGCCGGAGAUGGCGGCGGAGGUGGUGGUGGGGGAGUUUUGCCAUAGGCCAAGGAAGUAAAAAAAGGUGCAGAGGAAGAUUGUGAAGGUGAGAAAGUAGAUUCUUGAGAAAGGUUUGUUAGGUUUCUUGUUGAAAAUUGAUAAGAAAGAAUUAGCCAUUGUUGGAUAAAGAAAACGGAGAGAAAGAGAAAGAAAAGGGUGGAAAAGAGUUACGACGAGCUAUAUGAAACCAUGGACGUUACUUGUUUCAUGAGAGUGACGCGGUUGUAUUAUUAUGAACGUAUAUAUAGAGAGAGAGAAAGAAAGAGAGAGAGAGAAAGAAGGUUUUGUUUGGACUGAGGGGUGUGUCAGAAUAGACGGCUUGUGUUGUACUGUUAAGUGUUAAAUAGACAAACUGUUUAUUCUCUUUGCAGACUUUUUUUUAUUUUAUUUGAUGGGAACAAUUGUAGAAUUUACUUUCAAUUAAAAUAAGGAAUAUUUGUU
rnacentral:lncRNA from 1 species